GCCAACAUGGCAUAGUGGUUUAAGCGUCGGACUGCGACCCUGGAGACCAUGGUUUGAUUCCUGGCUUGGCC